UUGCACUGAUGACUUCUUAGGACACCUUUGGAUUCACCAUGAAAACAAACUGUUGAAACUCUGAGCAGC
rnacentral:snoRNA from 1 species